GACGUAGGGCGCGAGCGUUGUCCGGAUUUAUUGGGCGUAAAGAGCUCGUAGGCGGCUUGUUGCGUCGACUGUGAAAACCCGGGGCUCAACCCCGGGCCUGCAGCCGAUACGGGCAGACUAGAGUUCGGCAGGGGAGACUGGAAUUCCUGGUGUAGCGGUGAAAUGCGCAGAUAUCAGGAGGAACACCGGUGGCGAAGGCGGGUCUCUGGGCCGAUACUGACGCUGAGGAGCGAAAGCGUGGGGAGCAAACAGG
rnacentral:rRNA from 1 species